CUGAUGUCGAGACUGGUAGCAGUGACACUCUGCCUGCUGCCCCUGGCCCUCCAGCUCCCGCCCCUUGAGACUGCCGCUGGGCAGGGCCUCAGUGAGGACAGGGCUGUUUGGGAUGGAGGAGGGCGUGUUACUCAAGAGGACGCCUGGGGCCCCGAGUACCGGGAGCUACGGCAGAGCUAUGCAGCAGAUAAAAGCACAGAACAAUUAUCUUCAUCUGAAAGAAAUACCAGUGUGAAACUUUUCAACGAUGUCAGGGCAGAAACAACCAAG